UAGGGAAUCUUCGGCAAUGGACGAAAGUCUGACCGAGCAACGCCGCGUGAGUGAAGAAGGUUUUCGGAUCGUAAAACUCUGUUGUUAGAGAAGAACAAGGACGUCAGUAACUGAACGUCCCCUGACGGUAUCUAACCAGAAAGCCACGGCUAACUACUUGCCAGCAGCCGCGGUAAUACGUAGGUGGCAAGCGUUGUCCGGAUUUAUUGGGCGUAAAGCGAGCGCAGGCGGUUUCUUAAGUCUGAUGUGAAAGCCCCCGGCCCAACCGGGGAGGGUCAUUGGAAACUGGGAGACUUGAGUGCAGAAGAGGAGAGUGGAAUUCCAUGUGUAGCGGUGAAAUGCGUAGAUAUAUGGAGUAACACCAGUGGCGAAGGCGGCUCUCUGGUCUGUAACUGACGCUGAGGCUCGAAAGCGUGGGGAGCAAACAGG
rnacentral:rRNA from 1 species